AGCUUUGAGUGGUGACAGUAUCAUAGCUAAUGAGGUUUAUCUGAGGCACAAUUAUUGCUAAUUGAAAACUUUUCUAAUACCCCACCGUGAGGACUUGAAGAAGGGUCUUUGCAGAUGUGACUAAAUUGAGGAUUUUGAGAU